GAUGAACGCUUGCGGCGUGCCUAAUACAUGCAAGUCGAGCGAACAGAUAAGGGGCUUGCUCCUUUGACGUUAGCGGCGGACGGGUGAGUAACACGUGGGUAACCUACCUAUAAGACUGGGAUAACUUCGGGAAACCGGAGCUAAUACCGGAUAACAUUUGGAACCGCAUGGUUCUAAAGUGAAAGAUGGUUUUGCUAUCACUUAUAGAUGGACCCGCGCCGUAUUAGCUAGUUGGUAAGGUAACGGCUUACCAAGGCGACGAUACGUAGCCGACCUGAGAGGGUGAUCGGCCACACUGGAACUGAGACACGGUCCAGACUCCUACGGGAGGCAGCAGUAGGGAAUCUUCCGCAAUGGGCGAAAGCCUGACGGAGCAACGCCGCGUGAGUGAUGAAGGGUUUCGGAUCGUAAAACUCUGUUAUUAGGGAAGAACAAAUGUGUAAGUAACUGUGCACGUCUUGACGGUACCUAAUCAGAAAGCCACGGCUAACUACGUG
rnacentral:rRNA from 1 species